AUUGGCUAUCUUUGCUGCAGCUGACAGAAAUUUUGCAGUCAAACAAGCUGAGCUGGCCACUCCUGGUUAGUUUACAGGGAAGAAGCCCAGGACCACCUUCUUUCCUUGCAAAUUGUCUCAGGAGCUAGAUUUGAUUUAGAAAUCCCAGCAACACUGGAGCAACACAUCACUGAGAGAACAAGAACUGCUGCACAGCAAAUUCUGUAAACCCAGCCACCUAAGAUGAUUUGCUCGCUGGGGGAAAAUUGCACUCACUCCCAUUCCAUGUAGAUAAAUUGGACCAGAUGGACUACUAUAUCUCAACACUGCUGGAAGGACAGUAUCCUCCACAACACAUGCAGAGGCAUACAGAACCAAGAUGUUCAGAGGAUACACCCUUAUAUGUGGGGUACCUUUGAAAGACAGAAGCAAAAUGAUAAAGAUUUUAAAGAGUAAUUUAAAUAGAGCACCAGAAGAAGAAAUGUUUCCAGUUGUUAUCAACAAAGACACAGCAGCUGAAAAGACCAAAACUGCCAAAUGUGCACUCUCUCAAUUUCUGAUCUCUGGUCAAACUUUUAAUUAUGCAGACUACAGUAGUAUAAGGGGACUCAGCCAAGAACAACCUGCAACACUCACAGCAAGUGACAGAUCAUGCCUGGAAACUUCAAAAUGAGUCAAAGCAGAUAUGAAGGACUGUCAUUCCUUCCUGUAUGAAGGUGGGAGGCAGGCCAGCUUUCUGAAAUGAGUCUACGGCAGAGCUGGAAAGGACAGAGCCCAGGUCCUCCUGGGCCUCCACUUGCUGCUGUAACAGGAAGGAAAGCCUCUCUUUCCCUCCUUUAGCUAUAAUGGAAUAUGACUGAGGAGGCCGGGUAGAACUGACUGAUGAAAUUAACCAAGAAAUCUGCAACAGAGGGGGCUCCAGAAGCAAAGAUCUUCCUCAUCACCCUGGAUAAAAUCAACAGGGGGAGGGGAGGCAUAAAGAAGGCAGAAAGAGAGUGCCCAUGCUUUCAGUUCCCUCCAACUGGUACCUGCUUAUGGACUUCCUCACCUUGACGCU